rnacentral:rRNA from 1 species
GACGAACGCUGGCGGCGUGCUUAACACAUGCAAGUCGAACGGAAAGGCCCUGCUUUUGUGGGGUGCUCGAGUGGCGAACGGGUGAGUAACACGUGAGUAACCUGCCCUUGACUUUGGGAUAACUUCAGGAAACUGGGGCUAAUACCAGAUAGGAGCUCCUGCUGCAUGGUGGGGGUUGGAAAGUUUCGGCGGUUGGGGAUGGACUCGCGGCCUAUCAGCUUGUUGGUGGGGUAGUGGCUUACCAAGGCUUUGACGGGUAGCCGGCCUGAGAGGGUGACCGGCCACAUUGGGACUGAGAUACGGCCCAGACUCCUACGGGAGGCAGCAGUGGGGAAUAUUGCACAAUGGGCGGAAGCCUGAUGCAGCAACGCCGCGUGCGGGAUGACGGCCUUCGGGUUGUAAACCGCUUUCGCCUGUGACGAAGCGUGAGUGACGGUAAUGGGUAAAGAAGCACCGGCUAACUACGUG